UUUCUAUGUGUAUUUUGAGCUCUGCAUAACUUCCUAGAAUUCUUCUUUAAAAGGAAAGUAUUGAAAAAAAAGGCCCUUUGAAAUUACAGAAUGCUUCAGGAAAAUAAAGUCUCUCUUCAAUUAAAUCUUUUGAAAAAUCUAUGCAUGACACUUUCGAAGCCAAAGCAUGGGUUGGUUUUAUUGCAUUUGAUGCUGUGACAAAAUACCCUAAUUAGCACUUUGGUAUAAUUUACCACUGUUUCAUUAAAGCUGAUUGCCUAACUACCUGGGAAGUUAACAUGGCUUCUUGAGUACUCGAUCUGCCUUAUUUUUCUCCACUACAGCUGUUUGUAGGAAUGGAGCAAAGAGCAUUCAUUAUCGAGAAAAAAAUAAUUCUGAUAAAGGUUAUAAUACAAGAAAAAUAUGUAAUUUUGCUCGGUACCUCCUCAGCCCUUUCCGUUUUUAAUUGGUUUGGGUUUAUGAUGAGACCUCAUGUGACAGCAUAGAUACCUGGCAUUCAGCUAAUCUUUUACCAAUUUGGAAAGCUAAAUCAAGUUCAUUUCAUUUAUCUUGUUAAUCAUUUCAGUUUUGAAAAUCUGCGCUUGAAAACUGAAGUGCAUUAAAGUCCACUAAAUUAAGCCCAUGCUGGCUUUCAGGGGUUCUACAGAUUACACAGAAAUAGUGAAAUCCAUUGAAAUGGUUUGAGGUAGGGAUACAGGGGAAAUGUUUUAAAAGAUACAAACACUAACAAGCAAGGGUAGAUGAAAUGCUGUCAUGUUUGUAAGAGUAAUUUCCUUUCAUGUUUUCAGCCAUUGGUGAAAAUCCACAUGCGUUUUAUCUUUUAUUCCUUAACCACCCCAUCCCCAUCCCCAACUAUGAGACAUGACACAUCCAUCAGCAUGGUACUCUGAUGGAUGCUCUACGGGAAAUCCAUACUUUAACAGGAGAACCAAUGAUAUCUACCAUUAUAGAAGCUAUGAUUCGGAUCAAGAAGCAAACCUGCAGAUAAUCCAUACUCCAGGCAGGCUUGUAGUAGCUUCAUAGCAAAGUAGCCCAUAAUAGCCUCAUCUGAAAAGAAUAUUUAGAAAACAAUAACAAAAAGCUUGUAAAUUCUGGUUAAGCCAUUUACAUCCUAACAGAAGAAGAAUGGGCUUAAUUAUCUUUCGAAAUUCCUCUGCUACAGACUGACAGUAAGUAACCAUUUUAUUUUUGUUGCUAAAAUUAAAGUGACUUUCUAUAGGAGAUACUUUAGGUGAAAUCUGCAGUGAAGACCAAAUUUAGCUCUACGAUUUUUUUUUUUAGCUCUUCCCCUAGUUCAUAAAUAUGAAAAUGAACUUUUUGAAUUUAGUUGCAGGGACUUUUUACAUUAAUAUUUUAUCCUUCUUAGAAGUUUCUGGUGCUUUUGGAAACUUCUUCCUUGGCCCCUCUGUCCCUUGAAUUAUUCUCAACAAUGCAUGCCCACCCCCAAAAAAAAUAUAUCAAUGGAAAAGGUGCAGCCUUGGUAAUCUUGGUAUUUCUCUCAUUCCUAGAAAUUGCAGUGUUGAGGAGUUAAAGGAAAAGACAAGAGGAGUCUGUCUUGGGGAGGAGGUCAGGACAGUAAGAGAUGCACGGAUUGAAAAUAUACAGAUAAUAAUAGUAAAAAUGUAAAUAACAAUAUUAACUUAUUAUUUUACAGAUUUAGAAAAAGAGAAAAGGAAAGAAAAAAAAAAAAACAGUAAUCAAACCCCAUCAUCAUGAGCUAUGGUCUAUCCAUUAAAAUGGAAGGGAAUUACAUGCAAAUGCUUCAAAUAGAAAAUGCAGAAUACCUUUCCACUGAUGAUUUUUAGUUGUCAGGACAAGUGAGACCCAAACAGCAGACAGAAUGGUCCCAGCAUGCUUGUUGCCUUUUUUGUUUGCACAGUAGCUGUCAAUUCCAGCCUUGCAGGAUCAUUAAAAGAGAAACCUGUAAAGGCAACAUUCCUGUAACCGAGUUGGUGCUGCAACGUGCUGAUCUGCAGAGCUUGAGAAGGAGUGAUCCAGACACGCAGGUAAGAGUUUGCCUCUUUGCAGAUUUAGAAUGGACAACUAAAGAGACCUGCUAAAAAGGUAGUGAUGGUGGUUAACUUGUGUGAAUUUGAUUUUCUACUUUUCUGCUUUUUCUGCUUGCUGGUAGAUAAACGUUUCUGUUGUUUCUCUUUGGAUAUUUCAGUUCUGGAUUUUGUGUACUGUUGAGUCUGAUCCAUUGUCUCUUUGGAUCACGUUUAUAUCGGAGCUUACCCAUUGUUAGGUAUUGACAUCCCUGUAUGGCUGUUUGAUUUUGCAUUCCUAUGCUACGACAGCUUUUGUUUUAUUGCAAAAUGUUUUAUUUGGUUUCUCCAAAACAUUGGCUUCUUUUGAAAAACUAUUUUGAGUAAUGUUAUUGGAAGAAUAUAUAGAAAAGUAGGCCUGUAAUUAUGGUUUUGAGGUUGAACCCACUGUAUGCCAACUCCAUGAUUCCUGAAUUGACAAAGUGACACAUCCUAGGCCAUGUCUCAGUGUCACAUUACACCUGUUCAUACCAUGCAGCAAGACUCUAUGGAAAGAGAUCAUAUUUACGUUUUUUUUUUCUUUUCUGUGAUUUUGAGUAUCAAAAUAACAAUACUCAAAUGUAAAAGGAUAAUUAAUUCUCCUUUUUCAAUAAUUUAUCACAGGGGUAUUGUCCCUACUAUAGUGUUUCUAUAUCCAGACCUUGGUGAAGAUUUAUGUGCUGCUCAUUUUUCAAGACUGCCUGGAAGAUGCACAGAAAUUACCCAACCAUUUUCAAGUCAUACUCAUAGACAGUCCAUUCAGAAUCCUUUUCCUUCUUACCUUAGGUUUUUAAAUAUCAUUGCCAUUGAAUAUCAAGGACCACAAACUCUGGAACCUUGUUACAGAAGGAUUUCUAUCAAUAGCAAUGGCAUUCAUUAGCACUUUUUAAUUUGUUUUGGCUUUGCUGAUUUUCAUGCUUGUGUUUUUCUGGUUUUUUUUUUUUUCAAAGAUAUUCCAUUUUUCUGUUUCUUUUCAAAGUUUUAAUCCAAUUACCAGCUCUGUAAACAAGCAUUUGCUGCAUCUGUAGUAGGUGCACUGAACUGUGAGUGGAAGUGAUUUCUGAUUACAGGCAGGCUAAUUUUCAAGGGACAAGGGAACAAAAUGCAGUGAACUGAAUAAAAUAAUAGUGGAUAAUACCUUGUUAGGUGACAUAUGGCACAGAGAUAGAGCUCAGAUGGAAAAGGAAAAGUUACUCAAUCCUAAAAUACAUAUGCAUUGCGUGGGCAGUAGUUGUGAUCUGGGUCGUAUAUGAUCUGCUUGGCUGUGAGAGGGAAGUUCUUUCACACAUUUUAGCACUCAGGAGUGUUCAAUAACAUUAGGAUUAUCCUCUCUAAUUGAGAGGGUGACAAAAAGCAAUUUAGCUCCUGUAAAGCCCUGGAGUUUUGUCAACAGAGCCAAAAGCAAAGGGCUUUGGCAAGAGCAUCUCUGGGACUUCUGGAUUUUGGAUUUCUUAUUCUUCUCCUUUUUUUGGUUCCCUUCCUCCACCCUUUUAUGAAUUUCUACCUUCAUGGCCUUCUACUCCCACAAAUAAUCUCACAUAUUCCCUGCACCUUGAGACAUGAUUAAUAACAUCUUAGGAGUUAUCUGUGUUGCCAGCUUCACAUCCUGACUGGUAGUCAUGCCUUGGGAUCAAAAGAGGCACCACUGAUGAUGGAGAAUUGUGUUUGUUGUAAUGUGAGGCAAGAGCUGGGAAAAUAUAAGGAGUCAUAGGACUAUCACAAGUCCCCUGAACUCAUGGAGGUCACAGUACAAAGUGGCUUGCUCCUCCAUCACAUGAGGCUGAUCAUGAGUAUUAUCUUGUCGAUGCUGAGGCAAGACAAAGUGUGUUUGGAAACGAGAUGCCACUGUUUUAUGGCCCCAUUCUUACCAGGCAUAUGAGUGACAGUGUGAGGGGCAGGGAUAGCAAGCCCUCUCUAUUGGAAGAGGGUUCAGUAGAAUAAAGUUUCAAAAUCACAAGUAAUGAGUGUUUUGUCACAUUAGGCCACCUUCUAUCCCAAGAAUAGAAUUCCUGUUUCGAAGCUCCUAAAUUGGAGGAACAAGGUUCCAAGGCUACAGAGCCUUCAAGAAAACCAUCAGGCACAUAAUAGUCACAGCACUAGAAGAGAAUUCCCUGGGCCUUUAACCACAGCAAGUUAAGAUUCCUUCAUAAUAAUGAAUUCUCUUUGGUCACAGCAAAGCUGAUAAAAACAGGAGGCUAAACACAAAUGACUACCAGAGACCAAAACAUCAAUUUUUUUGAAGUAAAGAAGACCUUGAAAGGGCUCUCAGAGCAAGUUAAAGGCAGAGGUGGGAAGGCAGAUAAAACUUAAUUUGCUCCGUGCAUAUUGUGGAUUUAAUGAACCUCUGGGACUGGGCAGUCCAGAGACAGAGCACUCCAACUCUGGCCCUGCCCUCCUCAUCUCAGAGGCCCAAGGAAACUGUAUCAAACAUUUGCCUUCUGAUGCUUUCUGCAGCUCUACUUAGUAAUGCAACUUUAAUAUAUUUCUUUCAGGUUUUUAGGCAAAUGUUAAAUCAUAAAACCUUGCACGGUAUUUAAGAGACAUUUAGCUGCCAAAUGAUGAAUCAAAUGGGUGAUUUAGACACUGAAAUCAAAGCCCAAUGUCACUUUUAUCAUCUCAUUUCAUUAUAUACUAUAAAAUAGAGCCGUACCUUACAUGACAAUGACAAUCACGCACCAUUUAUUCUGUAUAUUCACUUCUAACACUAGCAGAAUGCAUUCUAGACACUCUGUUGUCCACAGGCAACUAACACAUGGCUUUGGACUUUGGUUUCAAAGGUUCUAUAUGAUGUCUCAAGGGCCAAGACCCAAAACAUUGGAUGUUCAUUUGAAUCUUGACCUAAAACAAGGCUGAUUUUAUAACACAGGGCCUCUAUUGAUAAAGAAGACUGUUUUGGAAACAGACUGUUUCCUAAUAGACCAAGGGCACUUGUUAAAGCUAAAGAGAAUGAGCACAAAUAAGACUUUAGUAAAUAAAAACUGACAUUUAGAGGGUGCGUAAUCCAGUUUGGUUUCCUACAUUGAUCAAAUUCACCGGAUAAUUGCUUAGCAGAACUCUUCCUUUACUUGACUAGUCAGAGGGAAAAGGCCAGCUCAACAUGGUAAUGGGAAGGCAAGGACUGAAUUGCCUUCUAUGGUCUUCUUCACCCACAAUUUUCACAGGGGUUGCUGUAAACUGUGGCUGAGUCAUCAGGACCCUGCUACAUGAUGUGAGGGGGAAUUUUAUUUACAUUUCCUCCAUCAGAUUGUGACCAUAUUAUGAGAAGCUGGACUUCAUUGCUGGCAAAUAGUAUUUGAUUCUUUCCAUUUGCUGACAAGAUCAGUGGAGUGUUUUGCUUUGUUUGGCCGUAUGCUAUUUGCAGAUUAGCUGGCAAGGAGUUUGAAGUUACUGUCAGGGAAGUCUAAAUCAGGUAUCUUAAACAGGGAUCCUAAUUGCUGAAAAAAAAUUUUAAUUUCUGUGUGUGUAUGUGAGAGAGUGUGUGAGUGUGUGUGUGUGUGUGUGUGUGUGUGUGUGCACGCGCACAUGCACGUGCAUGUUUCAUAACUUCUUGUUAACCCAUCCCUCUCCGGUCAAGCAGAGAGAAGUCCUUCUUGCAUCAUCAAGGCAGAUCAAUGCUCUGAUAACUGGUCCUGUGAUGUGGCUUUCUCAUCUUCUUAUUUCUGGGCCCUGAGUCUGGCCUGAUCUCACACUCUUGAUUAAAGCUUAAGGAAUGAUUUUCCUACCUAAAUUCUUAACCACUCAUAAUUGUAUAGACCUUGUUUCAUGAACCUGGAACCCUCGUCUCUCAUCUAUUUUGGUUCUCUUUUCCUAGACCUGAUUUUUACCCGACGACCACCAUUCCCUUCCUGUACUCAAUCCAUGAAAACACCCUGUGCUUAAAUCCUGGGGCCCCUUUUCCAUGUCAGUAUUUCACAAAGGAGUCUGCUGUAAAAUGCCUGCCCAUAUUAGCAUAGUUGCAAAGCACUGAUGCUGUGAAUCUGAGUGGUUUUUUAACGGAUGCCCAUUGUCUAUGCCCAAAAGGACUACCACAGAAAUACUAAAGGUUAACUUUCCUCCACCUCAGAUUUGCUACUGAAAUUAGCAGCGCUCAUUUGAGAGAUAAAUUUGCUCUUUAAAAAUUUAUUUCCUCUGCAUUCAUUUUCUCUUCCUAUAAAUGGGAACCUGGGAUCUAAUAAAACUGAAUUAAAAUUAUCAAAUACUAUUGAACCAACCUAAUGAAAAUUUUAACCAAAAGUCAUUGUAAAUUAGGUAUGUGCUAUGCUGAGAACACAAGUCUUUGUAAAGUAGAUAUUGUUCUUAUGUAAACUCAUGAAUGGAGACUUUCUUGAAUAAAUUACUUCUUAAUAACAUCAGAGAGUCAUUGGCUGGGUAAAUAUCUCCCUGGGACAUUCACUGCGACUCUUGAAUUUAAAUGUUCAAUAGAAACUUCGUAUUUGUCACCUUUACUAACGAGUUUUUCUUUAUGAAAUCAUUAUUAGCAUGAAAAAGUUAAAUUUUGUGUCUAAUUUCUAGAAUUAAUGCUCUUUAAAAGACCUCAAGGGCUUGAAAUUUGUCUUGCUGGAAUGCAACAUUUACAUAAUUUCUAUUGCCCCAGCAUUUACACUUGCAAUCCACUGUCAAUUUGCAAUGUGAAGGAGGAGGGGGAAAAAAUGAUCAGAAAAGCCGGAAAGUCUGGGGAUUUCUGCUGAGAGGGGCAAAGGGCCUUCUCAAAGGACCAGAUAGCAAAAUCAUUUCCUCAAUUCUUACUUGUGAUUCAAGCAUCUAAAAUCAUUAUGGUCGUUAUUUCUAAGCCACAUGUUCCCAGCAAGGGCUACUUUAGCUAGUACGUUGAUUACAUUGAUGGAUGAGCUUAUGAGAAGGUUCAGCGAUGCCCUGAGUGGUAAGAAUUUGCUUUGUUAUUUGUCACCCUGGAGUUUUUAUUUUUGGGUUUUUACCUGCAUUCUCAUAGUUUCAACUUCACAGCAGAGGCAAAGUCAAGAACUGGAGGUCGUGUAACAUCAGCAUGGAAUUAUUGGGAUACGCCAUUCGGCAGAAACUUUUAAAGUACAAGGUGAAAUGCUUGUUGGUGAGCAAACCUGAACUGCUUUUCCACAUACAGAGCAGCACGGCAGUGGCAUGAGAUUUCAAAGAUGCUGCUCCCGUGACCAUACUCAGAGAGGAAAAUGCAAAUAAGAUGAUAAUCACUGUUUUCCUGUGAUGUCCACAUCCUGCCCAGGCUCCUCCUAUUUGUGGAAAACUGUAUUCCCAAGUGUACAGGUGAUUUCCUACCACUAAGCUAAUAGGAUAUUUGCUGCAUGGCAGGUCAGAGGAUAUCCUGAGUGCAAUACAAAGAAUUCAAUGCAUUGUUCCCCAACCACUAAGUGUUAAUGGCACUUCUGCAAGAUUGAUAGCAUUUAGCCUCCCCCCCAAGAUUGAAUCAACACUGUAAGACUAACCUGUGAUGACAUCAUCAGUUGUAAGUAAACAAAUGGUACCCUUCCUGAGUGCCAUAAUUUUAUAUCACCUUUGCAAUAUAUCCAGUCAAAAAAGUGUUUUUAACAAAUCACAACAUAAAAAAAUUAAAAGCAAUGCUUGAAUAAACUUCAUGUUACUGUGAAAUGUUUUUUAACAGGUAGGCUAAAGUUAUUAGCAUAAGUUAGUCAAGGAUGGCUUUAUGCCAGUGAAUUUGCUCCUAAGCAAACACCCAAGAAGACAUGCAAAUCACCAGGACACAAGACAGACUUGCCAAAGACCCCAGAUUAGCAAAUAAUUAAGCAUGUACCCCAACCUCCACCAAGAAAACCUUAUGUUCAGCCAAAGCUUUUAAAAAGAAAAAGUUGGUUCCCCAUGAUGCUGCAGUCAUUAAAAUACAUAUAUUCUAACAAAAUUCUCUAUAUAGAUGUAACAUUUUUCUGCUGAAUUUCAAAUCAAAUCAAAUCAAAUAUGAUUCAAAUCAAAUAUGAAAUCCCACAGAAAGUAUUUCCCAGGUCAAUUCACUCAACAAGUAUGGGUUGAGAACAGUCCAAGCACCAGACAGAUUCUAGUGGCGGGAGUCUGAGAAAACCAGAUUGAGAAUGAGGCUCCCAUGGUGGCCAGCUCUGUGGAGCAGGAAAUGUGAUGUGCGCACACAGAAGCCACCACUGUGGGUUCUCUUUGUAUCAUUUCUCCAAAUUCUAAACUCUCUCUUCUUCCUCGUUACCCUCCAAGACCGUAGGGGUUUCCUCCAAGCCAACAUUCUCUGACCUCAUUCUCAAAGUUUCCAGGACAUUGCAACUUUCCCUCAGUGACUGUUGCAAGUGUCACCCUCUAGCAUGUGAUGUACCCUUCUGUAAAUCCCCUUAUGUGUGAGGCUUAAGUUAUAUACAACUAGUAUAUUUCCUGCCUAUUAUUUCUGUAUGAUUAAAAUUACCUACCUUAUUUAGUAAGAGUUAUCCAUAUCUCUACUAAAGCAGUAUAUGACAUGGGAUAUACUGAUUUAUCAAAAUAAAAGUAGAAAACUAAGUCAAGAAAGCCCACCUGCUCCCAUCAAGCAUCCCAUCUAUACAUCUGUUGCUGCAUGGCGGUUGAGAGGACAUCCUGAGGGCAGUACAAAGAAUGAAUCCAGCACUGUGUUCCCCAACCACUAAGGGGUCACAGCCUUUCUGCAAGAUUUAUAGCAUUUAGCUUCCCCCUCAAACUGAAUCAACACCGUAAGACUAACCUGUGAUGAUGGCUGGCAACCAUGCAUGCCUUAAAGGAAGAACAGCUAGCUGCAAAAUUCUAGCUCAAACUCCUUCAAAACCUGUAUUCUUGGAGACACUUUCUUUUGUUUCAGCUUCCUUUCCAGGCAAACAGAGAUUCACAAUAUUUCCUAUUUUUCAGUGUGGUUCUAUGGAUUAUAUAAUCACAUGUAUUUGAGAUACUUGGUAUCAUGAUGGGGACACGUGGUUAUCAUGGCAACCUGACUUGGAGUAAGCCACAAGAAGUAAUGGUCCGCUUGGAGCAAGCAUCCAAGCUAAGUCUGGAGGGAAGUAAAGUCUAACACAUGCUGUAGAGUGCGCUAAAUAAUAAGACAGGAACACCAAGGACGAGGCCUGGGGAUCACCAACACGGUAGUGUUUUAGGAUAUUUCCGAUGGGACAGAGGAGUGGAGAAUUGGUUAUAAGUUACCAAAGAAGCUCUUGGAAGGCAGCUGUCCAUUACAGAUAAGGAGGGCCUAUUCAGGUCUUUUGCCCAUUUUUCAAUUGGGUUGUUGGGUUUUUUUUACUGUUGAGGUAUGUAAGUUCUUUGUUUAUUUUAGAGAUUAAGCCCUUGUCAGUUG